GACCAUGGCUCAGGACGAACGCUGGCGGCGCGCCUAACACAUGCAAGUCGAACGAGCGAGAGAGAGCUUGCUUUCUCAAGCGAGUGGCGAACGGGUGAGUAACGCGUGAGGAACCUGCCUCAAAGAGGGGGACAACAGUUGGAAACGACUGCUAAUACCGCAUAAGCCCACGACCCGGCAUCGGGUAGAGGGAAAAGGAGCAAUCCGCUUUGAGAUGGCCUCGCGUCCGAUUAGCUAGUUGGUG
rnacentral:rRNA from 1 species